CAGAGUUGCAAAACUCCCUAAACCAUCGUGAACGUUACCCAAACCGUUGCUUCGGCGGGCGGCGCCCUCGCGCGCCCCUGGGCCCCACCGCGGGCGCCCGCCGGAGGUACCUAAACUCUUGAUACUUUAUGGCCACUCUGAGUCUUCUGUACUGAAUAAGUCA
rnacentral:misc_RNA from 1 species